UGUUUAACGGCCGCGGUAUUCUGACCGUGCAAAGGUAGCGCAAUCAAUUGUCUUUUAAAUGAAGACCUGUAUGAAUGGCAUAACGAGGGCUAAACUGUCUCCUCCUUCCAGUCAAUGAAAUUGAUCUUCCCGUGCAGAAGCGGGAAUAAUAACAUAAGACGAGAAGACCCUAUGGAGCUUAAAACGCAAGAAUAGACCACAUCACUUACCCUGAGUUAACAGGCCAAGACAACUGAGUACUAUUCUAGUGUUUUUGGUUGGGGCGACCGCGGGGUAAAAUAAAACCCCCACGUAGAACGAAAAUACAUUUUUUUAAUUUAAGGGAAACAACCCUAAAAAACAGAAUCUCUGACUUUUUGAUCCGGUUUUACCGAUCAACGAACCGAGUUACCCUAGGGAUAACAGCGCAAUCCUCUUUUAGAGUCCAUAUCGACAAGAGGGUUUACGACCUCGAUGUUGGACCAGGACAUCCUAAUGGUGCAGCCGCUAUUAAGGGUUCGUUUGUUCAACGAUUAAAGUCCU
rnacentral:rRNA from 1 species